rnacentral:pre_miRNA from 1 species
AAUAGGAGAAUGAUAAAUUAGAUUUUUCUUCUUGAUUUGUAGCUUUUUCCUUCUCAAACAAUUCAAAUCCAACUGAAAAUGUUAAAAAUCAGGAGAAAAAAUCUAAUUUUUUAUUCUCCUAUU